rnacentral:rRNA from 1 species
AAACCUCCUCGCCGAAAGACUAAGGUUUCCUGAUCAACGCUAAUCGGAUCAGGGUUAGUCGGGUCCUAAGGCUUAGCCGACAGGCGAGGUCGAUGGCAGAACAGGUUAAUAUUCCUGUACUACCUUAAAGAGUGACGCGAAGACGGAGUAGUGAUAGCGCCGCGGACUGACGGAAUAGUCCGUUGAAGGGUGUAGAUGUUGAUCAUGGCAGGCAAAUCCACCAUGAGAGUCGAACCUGAUAGUAUGGAGCGUUCUUCGGAACAAUUCAAUAGUGCGUGUAAACAAACUUCCAAGAAAAUCCGCUAAACUUAAUCUUUAAGGUACCCGUACCGUAAACGGACACACGUAGUCGGGUAGAAUAUACUAAGGCGCUUGAGUGAAUCACGGUUAAGGAACUAGGCAAAUUGACCCUGUAACUUCGGGAUAAAGGGUCCCUAUCAGCAAUGGUAGGGCGCAGAGAAUAGGUCCAGGCAACUGUUUAACAAAAACACAGGGCUGUGCAAAAUUGAAAGAUUACGUAUACAGCCUGACACCUGCCCGGUGCUGGAAGGUUAAGAGGAGAUGUCAUCGCAAGAGAAGCAUUGAAUUGAAGCCCCAGUAAACGGCGGCCGUAACUAUAACGGUCCUAAGGUAGCGAAAUUCCUUGUCGGGUAAGUUCCGACCUGCACGAAUGGUGUAACGAUCUGAAUACUGUCUCAACCGUGAGCUCGGUGAAAUUGUAGUAUCGGUGAAGAUGCCGAUUACCCGCGAUGGGACGAAAAGACCCCGUGAACCUUUACUAUAGCUUAACAUUGAAUUUGGGUAAUUGAUGUGUAGGAUAGGCCGGAGGCAUUGAAGCAGGUACGCCAGUAUUUGUGGAGCCGCUGUUGAAAUACGGCCCUUUGAUUAUUUGAGUUCUAACUCGCACAGCGAGGACACUGUUUGGUGGGUAGUUUGACUGGGGUGGUCGCCUCCAAAAGUGUAACGGAGGCUUCUAAAGGUGCCCUCACGCCGAUUGGUAACCGGCGGCAGAGUGUAAUGGCAUAAGGGCGCUUGACUGGGAGACUAACAAGUCGAUCAGGUAGGAAACUAGAGCAUAGUGAUCCGGUGUUUCCGUAUGGAAGGGACAUCGCUCAAAGGAUAAAAGGUACUCCGGGGAUAACAGGCUGAUCCCUCCCAAGAGCUCAUAUCGACGGAGGGGUUUGGCACCUCGAUGUCGGCUCGUCACAUCCUGGGGCUGGAGAAGGUCCCA